AACGAACGCUGGCGGCAGGCUUAACACAUGCAAGUCGAACGCACCUUUCGGGGUGAGUGGCAGACGGGUGAGUAACGCGUGGGAAUCUACCCUUCUCUACGGGAUAGCUCCGGGAAACUGGAAUUAAUACCGUAUACGUCCUGAGGGAGAAAGAUUUAUCGGGGAAGGAUGAGCCCGCGUUGGAUUAGCUAGUUGGUGGGGUAAAGGCCUACCAAGGCGACGAUCCAUAGCUGGUCUAAGAGGAUGAUCAGCCACAUUGGGACUGAGACACGGCCCAAACUCCUACGGGAGGCAGCAGUGGGGAAUAUUGGACAAUGGGCGCAAGCCUGAUCCAGCCAUGCUGCGUGAGUGAUGAAGGCCCUAGGGUUGUAAAGCUCUUUCAGUGGGGACGAUAAUGACGGUACCAACAGAAGAAGCCCCGGCUAACUUCGUG
rnacentral:rRNA from 1 species